UUCCUCCUGGAAAGAGCCAAAAAUUACAACCUUCCGUUCUUCCGACCCAGUCGCCCCAAAAACACGAGGCAGGCAGAGACCAGAGGGAAGAGGAAAAGUCAAACGAAGGUCAAAGCUGCAGCAGCAGCGACCACGCGGAUGCCAAUGGACGCGCCCCGCGGCGGCGGCGGCGGCGGCCCCGCUCGUCGGACGAGGCCCACCGCUGCGGCGUCGGACCCGCGGCGCGCGGCUUCGGCGCGGGAGGCGAUGUUGCGCAUGGAGGAGAUGAUGCUCGCCCACGCGGGCGCCGCGGGCGAGUUCAGCAUCAUCGUCGACGCCCCGCUCCCCACCCUCCAGCGCUACCGCCGCAACCCGACGCCUCCGACGGCGCCAGCAUCAGGCUCGUCCUCGUCCCCGGCACGACGCGGCAUGCCUCAGGGAGGGGCCGCCGCCGCAAGGGACGAGGUCCCCGUGCGCUUGCGACGCGAGGGGAGCGCCACCGAGGCCCUCGACGACGUGGAAGCGGCGCGAUCGUGGCGCCGCGUGGAAGCGGGGGUCCCUAGCGGAGACGGGGGCGCUCGAAGGGCGCGACCUGAAGGAGUAUUCGACGAGGAGGAAGAGGCGGAGGCCCCGGUGCGGAUGAGAGACCCGCGGGGCACGCGGAGGGAGAGCGGUCGCGUCAGCGCGCCUCCCGCGAGGGCCGUUGAGGAGAAACCGGCCGUUGCGGCGGCGGCGGCGGUGGAGGAGGAGACGCCGCUGCAGAAGCUAGCGCGCGGCGGGCGGAGUUCGAGCGCGAACAGGGCCGUGGAAGCGACACAGGUGGCGGAGCCGCUGGCUGAGAGGCCUACAAGCCGACGGUCGAGGCGGGAGGACGCUGUAAGUGCUGUCGUACAUGAGCCCCCAGCGGUGGAGGUGGAGAGCGUCGGGUGGCGUAGCAGCGGAGGAAGCGAGGACGGAGAGGACGAAGCGGUGGCGUUGCCAAAGCCGCUGGCGGCAAUUGUCACCGGAGUCCGUAGCAGGAGCAACUCACCGGCUAUAAGUCGGAACAGUGUGAACUCAGCUGCAGCCAAUCGCCCACAAUCAACAGGAAGGUCAAGUUUUGCACCGCCUGUUGGGGCUAAUGUGAGGCCUCUACAAGCUGUGGACAUGCCAAAUGGGACACCUAGGGAAAGAAGGACAAUCUAUCCAGAUCCCACUUUUGCACAGUCCACACGAUCAAGAGACUCCCAUGACAGUUCAACGCUAACAGAAGAGGUUGAAAUGCUAAAAGAUGAGAAUGUGAAUCUUUUGGAAAAGCUUGGACUAGCAGAAGAGAAAUUUAGACAAUCUGAAGCACGGACAAAGGAGCUUGAAAAACAGGUUGCUAAUCUUGGUGAUGGGUUAUCUAUGGAAGUUAAGCUUAUGAAAAGGAGGGAAGAGAUGCUAGUGAGAAAGGAGCAAGAAAUAAGGAAAGCUCUUAUAUCCAAGAAUGAUAAAAGUGAGGAAAUCACCACUCUUCAACAACAACUACAGUCUGCAAGUGAAAAGGCAGAAGUUGCUGAACGGAAACUCAAAGAAGCUGAAUCUGAAACAAAAGCCUUACGCACAAUGACACAGAGGAUGAUCUUAAGCAAAGAAGAAAUGUGUGUGAUGUUUGUAGGAAGAAGUUGUUAUGAAGAGGUGUUGGCUUGCUCGUUACUGGGGCUUGGCUGUUCAAUAUGGCAUCUACCCGGACAUCUCUAUUUCAAAAUAUGAAUACUGGUCUUCUUUUGCUCCCCUUCCCCUUGAGUAUGUAACAGCUGCUGGACAGAGAGCUAAGGAUGGAUCUCAUCAUAGUGGAACUAAUGGUUUGGAAGAAACAGACAUGCUUGUUCACGAUUUGACUGUCACAGCAGGAGAAGGCAACAUAGAAACCAUGCUUGCUGUUGAUAAAGGACUUAAAGAACUAGCUUUCUUAAAGGUUGAGGAUGCUGUUCUUAUUGCUCUUGCCCAACAUCAUCGUCCUAAUGCUGCUGAGCUGCCAGAUCCAGAUAUUAAAUCAUCUGGUGACGAAAAAUUCACUGAAGCAUUUGAUCUAAGCAAGGAGGAAGAAGAAGAUGUAUUGUUCAAGCAGGCUUGGCUGAUCUAUUUCUGGAGAAGGGCUAAAAGCCAUAAUGUAGAAGACGAUAUUGCGGAAGAGCGAUUGCAAAUGUGGAUUGAUCGACAGGACCAGCAACCUACUUCACAUGAUGCUGUGGAUGUUGAGCAAGGCAUGCACGAGCUGAGAAAGCUAGGAAUCGAACAAAUGCUGUGGGAAUUCUCCCGUCAGGAGGUGAACACGGCCGAAGACGAAUUGUCAGAUGCUGAGGAUGAUCUGACCUAGCAGCCUCAAUUGCAUUCAGCCCAGACCCCAGAUACACACCUGUGUACUAUACAGCAGCCAUAUAGGACAUUGAAAAGAUGUUUCUGGAUUUGGUUUCGAGGUCCGAGUUCCAGCACCAGAACAGAUUCAUUGAUUAUUAUUUUUUUGUACAUAACUUGCAUCCAACAGUGUUACUAAAGCAGCUUGAAAGGGCGAGAUCAUUUAGCAAACCUAGUGAUAUACUUCCUACGUUCCAUAUUAAGUGACUCAAAUUUGUCUAAAUAUGGACGUAUCUAUAUACUAAAAUACGUCUAGAUAUAUGUAAUAUUACGGCACUUAAUAAGAGACAGGAGGUAGUACUUUUCCAUGGGCCUAA